AUCGCUUCUCUGCCUUUUGGCUAAGAUCAAGUGUAGUACAAGUUCUGGUACAUAGUAGGGUUCUGCAAGAUAGCAGUGGCCAUUACUAUUAUUAUGAUUAAUCAUGACCAUUGCUAUUAAGUUUUCAUUGCAAAGUAAUGGUAUUAGGUGAUGAGGAAAGGUGUGUAUCUGGUGUGGGAAAUGGGUGGGACUUACAUUUAUUAUAUGCCUA
rnacentral:snRNA from 1 species